GACUAUCUCUGGUUUGCGGAUGACUCCGUUUGGUUGAUGGUUCUCGCAAAGUGUCUGAUUACAGUACGCACUCUGCAGGUUCACAUCAGCCAUACGGAUCGCCCGGUGACGUCACAGUACGAUU
rnacentral:precursor_RNA from 10 species